rnacentral:rRNA from 1 species
UACGUAGGGUGCGAGCGUUGUUCGGAAUUACUGGGCGUAAAGGGCUCGUAGGCGGCCAACUAAGUCAUACGUGAAAUCCCUCGGCUUAACCGGGGAACUGCGUCUGAUACUGGAUGGCUUGAGAUUGGGAGAGGGAUGCGGAAUUCCAGGUGUAGCGGUGAAAUGCGUAGAUAUCUGGAGGAACACCGGUGGCGAAGGCGGCAUCCUGGACCAACACUGACGCUGAGGAGCGAAAGCCAGGGGAGCAAACGGG